rnacentral:ncRNA from 1 species
CCUGGGCUGCCAUUUCACGAUCAGACAGGCCACCGCAAAUCUGGAUAAUACGGUCAGACAGCGUCGACUUACCGUGGUCAAUGUGAGCAAUGAUCGAAAAGUUACGUAUGUUCUUCAUAUAGUUAAAUAAUUAUGCCUUACGAAUUCCUGGAGGCCGCUGUUCUUAGCCUGACGUUUUUCAGUGCGAAAACGCAGCAUUCUACACUACAUCCCCGUAACCUGGAAAUGCACUUAGCGCCAAGCAUAGCGCGAAGGAACGGCGUUUUCUUUUUUGAGAUGUAAAUAAUAAUAAAGCCCGGUAGAUCACCGGGCCUCAGAAGAGAGCGUUUCCACACGAAGCUGGUCUGGACCGAGCGCAACGCUAAGGAUGACGGGUUGCCAUUCCUCUCGGGCAACCAGCCUGGGGGAUAAGCCCUUUGCAAGCCAAAAUCCGCCAACGCCACCCAGAGCAGCACCACACAUUGCCGCCGCGUCGGUAUUGAACAACAUCUGGAAAAUGCCGCCCAUGACAAACAGCCCCACCAGCGGAGAGAGAUAAACCAGCACCGCGGAGGUCAGCAGGCUGCCUUCGGCAAUACCCAGCUCGACCUUCUGCCCAGCCACCAGCGGCUGUUCGCUCGGAACAGCGAUGGUAUGUGAGGUUUGCGGCCCCAGCUUGUUCAGCACGCGGCUGCCGCAGCCGGCUCUGGAAGCACAGCUAUUGCAUGAUGCUUUAACGUCACAACUGACCAGGGCAACGCCAUCCUGCCAGGAGACCACCGUGGCCCACUCUUUAAUCAUUGUGCAGCCUUAAAUUUAAUGCUGUCAGAAAUACG